UCGGGGCAUCGCAGGCUCCCGGCGUCUCAAAGACGGGUACCCGUCCAAGUCCUGC
rnacentral:ncRNA from 1 species